rnacentral:lncRNA from 1 species
GAAAACUUGUUACGCUGUUGUAGUGAGCUAAUUACUACACUUACCUAGUUGAUAGAAGAGCGCUCAUGAGAAUUGUUAAGCACAGUAUUCAAACCACCCACACUAACUGGAGAUUGAACUGCAAGAAUUGAGGAUUCUGCAGUUCACCAUUGAUAAAUAUGGAUUUAUCAAUGGGUCAAAGACCCCAGCCACCCCAGUAAAGACUGUUCUCUCUACUACUGCAUGGCAAGCAGUACCGGAGUGCCAUGUCUAGGACAAAAAGGCUUCUCAACAGUUUUUACCCCCAAGCCAUAAGACUCCUGAACAGCCCUUACAGAAUUACCCACCAACAACGGACCAAGCAGCGGAGGAAGGAGAAGCGCCAGGAGAGGAGCGUUCAGGAUUCGUGGACUUGGGAGGAAAUCCUGGACGGGAAAGGACCAUGGGCUCAAGAUGGGGAUUAUCGCCGCCCGCAGUGGGAGAUCGAGGCGGCGAGAGCUGAGAGGCGCUGGUAUGAGGAAAGGGAGCGCAGCAGACACGAGAGGCAGCCCCCCAUUUUUUUUGGGGGGGGCACACGGGAGAUUGGCAGAGUCAGGCGGUAGACCUGAGCCAACUCCCUGUGCUUACCGGAAGCAGCGUGGUACUGGUAAGACACCGUGUUAUGCUGUGGAGCGCACGGUGUCCCCAGUGCGCGUUCAAA